CCCAGAGGAAGGUGUGGUCGGUCACAACGCUGAAAAAGAAAAAAGUCAUAUCUGUUUGGGGGGCGCGGCUCAUCAGCUCAGAGUUUCAUAGGACACGUACAUUAUCGGGCUGUUAUCAAGGUGUGAGUGACCUUGAUUUGUACAGGGCGUUUUUCCGGUUAUUUUCUUUUCCUAGCCUGGCAAAGCGUUUUGAACACACAUGCCCCAGAAUUGAAUGAUUCCAAUUAGGAAAGCACAGAGAAGCAUCUUCUGCAGGCCUACAAGGGGGGCACUUCCCAGUUCUGUGGGAAAAGCACUGAUGCUUGGAGGUAUUUUCCCCAUUAUUGCUUUUGCCUAAAGGACAAGGCUUUCUGGAGGUCGGCGAGCGUUAUGAAAAGGAAGUCUUCUGUGGACCACGUUAAUAGUACCUCUCCUGACCAUACCUGGGAAAACAAGCACGCUCAUAAAAGGAGGGAUUGCAGGGAUUGGUACUGGCCAAUCGCCCUUAGUGGAUAACGGCCAUUUCCCCGAGGAUGAAGAAGAAGAAGAUUGCAGGGGAAGAAAGGCCAUAGAAAUUUGGCCUCAGAAAACACAGAGGUGGAGUUGAGGCAGUAGAAGAACCUCGAAAUUUUGGUCUUGGAAAACCCCAAGGGGUGGAGUUGAGGCAGUAGAAGAACCUUGAAAAUUUGGUCUUGGAAAACCCCAAGGGUGGAGUUGAGGCAGUAGAAGAACCUCGAAAAUUUGGUCUUGGAAAACCCCAAGGGGUGGAGUUGAGGCAGUAGAAGAACCUCCAAAUUUUGGUCUUGGAAAACCCCAAGGGGUGGAGUUGAGGCAGUAGAAGAACCUCGGAAAUUUGGUCUUAGAAAACCCCAAGGGGUGGAGUUGAGGCAGUGGAAGAACCUCGGAAAUUUGGUCUUAGAAAACCCCAAGGGGUGGAGUUGAGGCAGUAGAACCACCUCGGAAAUUUGGUCUUAGAAAACCCCAAGGGGUGGAGUUGAGGCAGUAGAAGAACCUCGGAAAUUUGGUCUUAGAAAACCCCAAGGGGUGGAGCUAAGGCGGUAGAAGAACCUAUUUUACAGGUGGAAUGGUGCAGGAAGAAGGAUCAGUGAAGACAAAAAUGAAAAAUGUCUGUCUCUGAAAAAUGUCUUUCUAUUAAAAUUUGUACACCCUGUU